rnacentral:misc_RNA from 1 species
AGCAGCCGCGGUAAUUCCAGCUCCAAUAGCGUAUAUUAAAGUUGUUGCAGUUAAAAGCUCGUAGUUGAAUUUCGGGAUCAAUAUGUUGGUCGUGCCUCGGUACGUACUAGCUUAUUGGUUUCUCCUUUCUGAAGAACCAUGAUGUCAUUUAUUUGGUGUCGUGGGGAAUCAGGACUGUUACUUUGAAAAAUUAGAGUGUUUAAAGCAGGCUCACGCUUGAAUACAUUAGCAUGGAAUAAUGAAAUAGGACGUUUGAUUCUAUUUUGUUGGUUUCUAGGAUCGACGUAAUGAUUAAUAGGGAUAGUUGGGGGCAUUAGUAUUCAAUUGUCAGAGGUGAAAUUCUUGGAUUUAUUGAAGACUAACUACUGCGAAAGCAUUUGCCAAGGAUGUUUUCAUUAAUCAAGAACGAAAGUUAGGGGAUCGAAGACGAUCAGAUACCGUCGUAGUCUUAACCAUAAACUAUGCCGACUAGGGAUCGGAUGAUGUUAAUUUUUUA